rnacentral:rRNA from 1 species
AACCUUUACACUGCACGACAGUGCGAUAAGGGAAUCCCAAGUGCGUAGGUAUAGAGCCUACGCUUUUGUCCACCGUAGGGAGGUGGACGAAUAAGGGCUGGGCAAGACCGGUGCCAGCCGCCGCGGUAAUACCGGCAGCCCGAGUGAUGGCCGAUCUUAUUGGGCCUAAAGCGUCCGUAGCUGGCCGCGCAAGUCUAUCGGAAAAUCCACCCGCUCAACGGGUGGGCGUCCGGUAGAAACUGCGUGGCUUGGGACCGGAAGGCGCGACGGGUACGUCCGGGGUAGGAGUGAAAUCCCGUAAUCCUGGACGGACCGCCGAUGGCGAAAGCACGUCGCGAAGACGGAUCCGACAGUGAGGGACGAAAGCUAGGGUCUCGAACCGGAUUAGAUACCCGGGUAGUCCUAGCCGUAAACAAUGCCUGCUAGGCGUGGCUCCCACUACGAGUGGGUGCUGUGCCGUAGGGAAGCCGCUAAGCAGGCCGCCUGGGAAGUACGUCCGCAAGGAUGAAACUUAA